ACGGGAGGCAGCAGUGAGGAAUAUUGGUCAAUGGGCGGAAGCCUGAACCAGCCAAGUCGCGUGAAGGAAGACGGUUCUAUGGAUUGUAAACUUCUUUUGCAUGAGGGUAAAGUGAGGUACGUGUACCUUAUUGCAAGUAUCAUGUGAAUAAGCAUCGGCUAACUCCGUGCCAGCAGCCGCGGUAAUACGGAGGAUGCGAGCGUUAUCCGGAUUUAUUGGGUUUAAAGGGUGCGUAGGCGGGAUAUUAAGUCAGCGGUGAAAGUUUGCGGCUCAACCGUAAAAUUGCCGUUGAAACUGGUGUCCUUGAGUGUAAACGAGGUAGGCGGAAUGUAACGUGUAGCGGUGAAAUGCUUAGAUAUGUUACAGAACUCCGAUUGCGAAGGCAGCUUACCAGCAUACAACUGACGCUGAGGCACGAAAGCGUGGGUAUCAAACAGGAUUAGAUACCCUGGUA
rnacentral:rRNA from 1 species